rnacentral:rRNA from 1 species
AGUAGCAAUACGAUCUGCCGGCGACCGGCGCACGGGUGAGUAACGCGUAUGCAACCUACCCUACAGAGUGGGAUAGCCCGGCGAAAGUCGGAUUAAUACCGCGUAAAACAGGGGAUCCGCAUGGAUAUAUUUGUUAAAGGAGCGAUCCGCUGUAGGAUGGGCAUGCGUUCCAUUAGGCAGUUGGCGGGGUAACGGCCCACCAAACCGACGAUGGAUAGGGGUUCUGAGAGGAAGGUCCCCCACAUUGGUACUGAGACACGGACCAAACUCCUACGGGAGGCAGCAGUGAGGAAUAUUGGUCAAUGGCCGAGAGGCUGAACCAGCCAAGUCGCGUGAAGGAAGAAGGAUCUAUGGUUUGUAAACUUCUUUUGUACGGGGGUAAAGUGAAGGACGUGUCCUUUAUUGCAAGUACCGUACGAAUAAGCAUCGGCUAA